CCAGAUAUGUCCCUCAGCAGCAGCUUGGGGUGGCAGCACAAGCCAAUCAGAUCAGUAUGGCUAUGGUGACAUCACAGCCCUUGGAACAAUGGCUUCUUUUUUAAUGGGUAAUUACUGAAGACAUUUCUUUCAGAGCACUGCUUUGGGUCCUGGAGUUGGGGGAGUGGGUUUCAGAGGAAGAGGAGCGUUCAUCAGGGCCUCAGAGUUCCCAGGGUUCACUGGACUUACUCAAGAACACAUGAUAUAUGUCUGGGAGAGUUACCGGUGUCCAGCCCAUGCUGACAGGUCAGAAAGAUGGAGCGUGGUGUCUCUGGAUCACCAAUGCCGAGACAGACACAUUCAAGAAGCUUUUUGGUGCCAUGAUUUCGGCUUCACACGGGCCCAGAAGAAGCAGAGAAAGUGCAGAACCCGCUGGAACGGAACCUUUUAAGUUGUCCCGACAGGCAUUUGACCACAGCAAU